rnacentral:rRNA from 1 species
GUGAAAUUGUUGAAAGGGAACCGCUGGGAAGCAGUGUGAUGGGCGUAGAUUCAUCUAUGCCAUAUCAAGUAAGGCUUGUUUCGAUGGCAAGGGAAAAGGUCUGUUUAUUCAGUCACCUGCUGAGCUUCGGAAUGACUCUUACGAAAUGCUUCUCAUCAACCCGUCUUGAAACACGGACCAAGGAGUCUAACAUGUGUGCAAGUGUUAGGGAUCAAGUCCCAAGCGCGAAAUUAACGUAAAGUGCUGAGAUAGGAAGCUUCGGCUGCACUAUCGACCGACCAUGAUCCUUCGAGUGAAAGGUUUGAGUGUGAGCAUACAUGUUGGGACCCGAAAGAUGGUGAACUAUGCUUGAGUAGGAUGAAGCCAGGGGAAACUCUGGUGGAGGUCCGUAGCGAUUCUAACGUGCAAAUUGAUCGUCGAACUUGAGUAUAGGGGCGAAAGACUAAUCGAACCAUCUAGUAGCUGGUUCCUCCCGAAAUUUCCCUUAGGAUAGCUGCAACCGAACAGUUUUAUCAGGUAAAGCGAAUGAUUAGAGGCCUCAGGAGUGAAAUGCUUUUGACCUAUUCUCAAACUUUAAAUGGGUAAGAGCCCCGAGUUGCUUAAUUGAACUCGGCGGUCGAAUGACGGUUGCUAGUGGGCCAAUCUGGGUAAGCUAGAUUGGCGAUGCGGGAUGCUCCGAACGUUAAGUUAAAGUGCCAAAAUAUCCGCUAACCUAGAUCCCACAAAAGGUGUUGGUUCAUCUAG